rnacentral:rRNA from 1 species
CUAUAAUUGUCAGCUAAGUGGCGCACGGGUGAGCAAUGUAUAGAUAACCUGCCCUUAAGAAAGGAAUAACAGUUGGAAACGACUGCUAAUGCCCUAUAUGCCUUUAAUACAUAAGUAUGCAAGGGAAACGCUUUAGUGCUUAAGGAUGGGUCUGUAUGGUAUUAGCUUGUUGGUGAGGUAAUGGCUCACCAAGGCUAUGACGCCUAACUGGUUUGAGAGGAUGAUCAGUCACACUGGAACUGAGACACGGUCCAGACUCCUACGGGAGGCAGCAGUGGGGAAUAUUGCACAAUGGACGAAAGUCUGAUGCAGCAACACCGCGUGGAGGAUGACACAUUUCGGUGCGUAAACUCCUUUUAUAUAGGAAGAUAAUGACGGUACUAUAUGAAUAAGCACCGGCUAACUCCGUGCCAGCAGCCGCGGUAAUACGGAGGGUGCAAGCGUUACUCGGAAUCACUGGGCGUAAAGAGCGUGUAGGCGGGUAUAUAAGUCAGAAGUGAAAUCCAAUAGCUCAACUAUUGAACUGCUUUUGAAACUGUAUACCUAGAAUGUGGGAGAGGUAGAUGGAAUUUCUGGUGUAGGGGUAAAAUCCGUAGAGAU